AGAAGUCAUUCACUUAGCAACGGCAAAAUGAGCAGAAACAUUGCUACCGAAUUUAUUUCGUCACUGUCAAGUAGUAGCUGGGAUAUACGAAAUGCACUCUUGAGGAUUGAAAGAAAUAGGUGCCUUUGAUUUAUAGUUCUGAAAUUAACCUUUGGUUUUGAUGAUGAUACACUGAUGUACAAGGUUUGUAGAACAAUUUUGAUCAGUUCAGUCAGAAAUACAGAAAUUAUUACUGGUGCAAUGUUUAUGGUAAGCAAGGAUCAGGUUGCUAUUCCUGUGGUACCAGAAAAGUGCAAUUAGUGCUUUUGGUAGCGUUGUUGUUAUUGUUCUGAGAUAUAAAAGAUAAACGAUAGAACGAACAUGUUUUUCUGUUGGUUUUGUAAAGUAAAUUCACUUUAAAAUUGUGUCUUUCAUGUUUUUAUUUCUUUCUUUUUCAACUAAACAUGUUAUGUCUUUUCUGUAUUUAUUUAUUCCGUUGUUAUUGUUCUGAGAUAUGAAUUUUGAGGUAUUAUCAACACUCUGCAAGAAACAUGGUGGGAAACAAAUGGCUGACAUGGUGUUAGUAAACAUGGUGGGCUUGGAUUUUUAGCGCCGGAUCGCAAAUUAAUUGCAUGUCAAAAUGUUAUAUUAUAACACCCAUCCAUCUUAAAAAUGCAAAAAUAAAUGAGAGAAAUUUGGAUUUUGUUAUUUAUAAAGAAAUAAAAAAAACAUUAUCUUGUCAGUGGCGUUGGCUAUGUUCUUACUUUUUUUUUUCUUUUUUUUGCAUUAAAUGGUUAAUUUAGUUGGAAGCUAAUUUAAAUUUUUAAGGGUAUACGAGGGUCUAUUCUAGAAUUUGUUUGAGAAAAUAUUUAACCUCAGUUAUUCAUAAACUAAUCCGAAGACAUGUAGGAAUCCCGUAUAUAUGGAGGUUUAUUUAAUUAAAUUAAAAUUAAAUAAACUAAAAAACUAGAAUUGAAGGAGAAGUUCUUGUACCCAAGAGACAUUUCUGUAUUAAUUGGAUCAGUGAAAUGAUAAAACUUUUCUUAACUAAAAAAAAAAAACCCUUUAAUCUAUAUAUUGAGGAUAAGGUUGUUUUUUAAAUGACGUAAUUGUCUUUUAUAAAUUAAUUGUGUAAUAAAAUUAUUAAUUUAACACUAAAAUAAAAUAAUAUAACACCUACUACUCAUCAGGGGUGUUUUGGUUUUUUUUAAAUUUUAGAAUAGCCUAUUUACUUUUAUACCAUAAAAAACAUAUUUAACAUAACUCUACCAGAAUGUAUUUUUUAUCAUUUGACAUUAAUUUUUUUUUUGUAAAAUUAAAGGUUAUUCAAGUGUAUUAUUGUAAAUAAUAUAUACAAAAUAUUAUUUAAAAAAAUUUAUUGGCGCGUAUGGACUGCCCCUGCACCAUUUGGAAAGCGUAUGUGAGGCCGUCUGGCCACCAAACACCACCUUUCACGGUGGCAUUUUAAAGAUCCCGGCUUCCCCAACGUUAUGGGAUGUCGUGUGUCCUAAAUGCUUAUCGGGUUUGGCGCUGAUAAGCCCCCCACUCUCUCUCUCUCCACCUUGAAUUCUAUACUGGCCCCUUCAAAAUUCAGAUUAACCCCUACAAUUUAUUAUUUCCUUCAUAUUUUGUCCAUGUCCUUUUCAUUAUUAUUUUUUAUUUUGGAAUUAUCUAUAAAAUCAAAAAUAUUUUUCAAUUUCACUCCUACAAUUUUUAACAUUUAAAUAAUCAAUUAAAUUACAAAUAUUUUCAAUUUCACUCUCAUAAUUUUUUAAUCUUUCAAAUUUGGUUCUCAUUAUUUUGAUUGCUAUUUUUUUUGUUUGUGAUCAUUUUCUAAUUUUUUUUUUACAAUGUCAUCCUCAUUUUUUUUUUCCAGAAAGUUUUGAUUUAUCCUCAUUCUUUUCGUUGUUUAUCUUAUUUGCUUUUGCAAGUUUUUUUAUUAAUACUUUUUUUUAUGAUUUCAUCCUUCAAAAUUAUAUUGUUAGUUUUAGAGAAUCGACCAUGUUUUAGAAAAUUCACUCCGAGUCUGCUUGGUUUUUAGAUAUUCUUUUUGUUGCUAUUUUUUUUUGCUUUUAUAAUUUUUUUUAUUAAUAUCUUUUCACGAUUUCAUUAUUUAAAAUUAAAUUAGUUAGGAUCUAAACUUCUUGAUUAAACAUGAAUAUAAGAUUUUACGGGUUGCGAAUUUUACAGAUUAGAUCAAGUUUAAAAUGUUUGCUCCGAGUUUGCUUGGUUUAAUUCUCCAUUUUUUAAGAUGAUGUUUUCUUAUUUCUUAUCCCUUUUUUUAGUUGUGUUUUGUUAUUUUUUAUAGUUUGCUUUCAAUAAGGUUAGCUCCCCAUGUUUAUGACCAUGAUCACUAGUUGCAAAUGUUAAUGCAGUUUCACUUUUGUUUUUUUUUUUUUUUAAGUUGAUAAGUUUCAUCAUUCAAACUUUUUUUUUCUUUCUAUCAGAUUAUCCUAACUUAUACCCAUGGUUGCGAGCGAGUUCACCUGAUUUAAUAAAGCUUUUUUAAAAUUAUUUUUCUUAUAAUUUCAUCUUUCAACAUUAAAUUAAUUAAUAAUUCAAGUGGGAUUAAGUCUGAUUUUUUUUCAUUAAUAUUUUCUUAUUAGUUUAUUUAUUAUUGUUGUAUUUUUUUUUACUCAUAUCAUGUAAAUUACUAAUGCAUUGAAUUUUUCUACCCUAACAAUUUUUUUUUUAAAAAAGAACUGUCUGCACGCGAGAAUUACAAAUUGAAAUGGAUCCACACAAAUGGCAAGAGAUUAAAUGUAGAAAAUAAAAGGAGGGACCUCGUUGCAAAUAAAAAAAAAAUAGUAGGAGGGCGAUUAAACAAAAAGUUUCACGAGCGGAGGAAGCUACUCAAUUAUCAGAGCCUGGUUUCGAUCCAGGGACCUGUGGGUUAUGGGCCCACCACGCUUCCGCUGCGCCACUCUGAUUGUUGAAUACAUUUUGUAUCGAAACAUAUAUAAUGUAAUUUUCAGACAAAGUUCAGUUCCGAUCUUUAUUUCUCUUCUUCGGCUGUGUCUCUCUUUCCCUUCCCUGCACCAACACCAUAAAAAAAUUACUAGGAAAACAAUUCAAAACUUUGAUCAAAACCCACAAAAGAUAUCAAUCAAAGAAGCAGUCUUUAAUAAAAAAGGGAAUGAGAAGGAGACCUGGUAUUGGUGGGUUAAAAACAGCUGCUGCUGCAAGGGUAACUACUGUUUCUUCUGUUGGAUUAUUGAUUCAUCGGUUUCCAUUUGGUUAUUUAUUAAUGCUCAAUAUAAACAGUUUCCGAGUUUUUGCUUUUCAUUUCUUGAAAUGGUAUUGAAGGAUCAAUAUCGGAUACUUGGAGAAAAUGGAGCAAGAUUAAAAACUGAUCUUAUGAAAGAACAGCUUGCCACUUUUCGUUCUCAGCUUGAAGAAUUUGCCCGCUAACACAAGGUCAGCUGAUGAAUUUCUGUGUUAUAUCAACGAACUUUACCGUUUGGAGAUAAAAAGUUCGGAUUUUUAAUACUAAAGUUGUGAAUUUUAGAGGUGUUUAUUUCUGUUACGGUAAGAAAGAUGAGUUCCCGUGUGCUUCUUUGAUAUUUUUUUACUGGCCCAGUUGCUAAUUUUGUAAAACUUUAUCGGGUUUUUUUACUGGCCCGGUUGCUUCUUUGAUUUAUAGUUCUCAAAUUAACCUUUGGUUUUGAUGAUGAUACACUGAUGUACAAGGUUUGUAGAACAAUUUUGAUC
rnacentral:lncRNA from 1 species